rnacentral:rRNA from 1 species
AGUGAACGCUGGCGGUAGGCCUAACACAUGCAAGUCGAACGGCAGCACAGUAAGAGCUUGCUCUUACUGGUGGCGAGUGGCGGACGGGUGAGGAAUACAUCGGAAUCUACUUUUUCGUGGGGGAUAACGUAGGGAAACUUACGCUAAUACCGCAUACGACCUACGGGUGAAAGCAGGGGAUCUUCGGACCUUGCGCGAUUGAAUGAGCCGAUGUCGGAUUAGCUAGUUGGCGGGGUAAAGGCCCACCAAGGCGACGAUCCGUAGCUGGUCUGAGAGGAUGAUCAGCCACACUGGAACUGAGACACGGUCCAGACUCCUACGGGAGGCAGCAGUGGGGAAUAUUGGACAAUGGGCGCAAGCCUGAUCCAGCCAUACCGCGUGGGUGAAGAAGGCCUUCGGGUUGUAAAGCCCUUUUGUUGGGAAAGAAAAGAAGCAGGUUAAUACCCCGCUGUUCUGACGGUACCCAAAGAAUAAGCACCGGCUAACUUCGUG